GGGUUGUGAGGUUAAGCGACUAAGCGUACACGGUGGAUGCCCUGGCAGUCAGAGGCGAUGAAGGGCGUACUAAUCUGCGAUAAGCGCCGGUAAGGUGAUAUGAACCGUUAUAACCGGCGAUACCCGAAUGGGGAAACCCAGUGUGAUUCGUCACACUAUCAUUAACUGAAUCCAUAGGUUAAUGAGGCGAACCGGGGAACUGAAACAUCUAAGUACCCCGAGGAAAAGAAAUCAACCGAGAUUCCCCCAGUAGCGGCGAGCGAACGGGGAGGAGCCCAGAGCCUGAAUCAGCAUGUGUGUUAGUGGAAGCGUCUGGAAAGGCGCGCGAUACAGGGUGACAGCCCCGUACACAAAAGCGCAUGUGCUGUGAGCUCGAUGAGUAGGGCGGGACACGUGGUAUCCUGUCUGAAUAUGGGGGGACCAUCCUCCAAGGCUAAAUACUCCUGACUGACCGAUAGUGAACCAGUACCGUGAGGGAAAGGCGAAAAGAACCCCGGCGAGGGGAGUGAAAAAGAACCUGAAACCGUGUACGUACAAGCAGUGGGAGCACAGGUUUACCUGUGUGACUGCGUACCUUUUGUAUAAUGGGUCAGCGACUUAUAUUCUGUAGCAAGGUUAACCGAAUAGGGGAGCCGGAGGGAAACCGAGUCUUAAUUGGGCGUUAAGUUGCAGGGUAUAGACCCGAAACCCGGUGAUCUAGCCAUGGGCAGGUUGAAGGUUGGGUAACACUAACUGGAGGACCGAACCGACUAAUGUUGAAAAAUUAGCGGAUGACCUGUGGCUGGGGGUGAAAGGCCAAUCAAACCGGGAGAUAGCUGGUUCUCCCCGAAAGCUAUUUAGGUAGCGCCUCGUGAAUUCAUCUCCGGGGGUAGAGCACUGUUUCGGCUAGGGGGCCAUCCCGGCUUACCAACCCGAUGCAAACUGCGAAUACCGGAGAAUGUUAUCACGGGAGACACACGGCGGGUGCUAACGUCCGUCGUGAAGAGGGAAACAACCCAGACCGCCAGCUAAGGUCCCAAAGUCAUGGUUAAGUGGGAAACGAUGUGGGAAGGCCCAGACAGCCAGGAUGUUGGCUUAGAAGCAGCCAUCAUUUAAAGAAAGCGUAAUAGCUCACUGGUCGAGUCGGCCUGCGCGGAAGAUGUAACGGGGCUAAACCAUGCACCGAAGCUGCGGCAGCGACGCUUAUGCGUUGUUGGGUAGGGGAGCGUUCUGUAAGCCUGCGAAGGUGGCCUGUGAGGGUUGCUGGAGGUAUCAGAAGUGCGAAUGCUGACAUAAGUAACGAUAAAGCGGGUGAAAAGCCCGCUCGCCGGAAGACCAAGGGUUCCUGUCCAACGUUAAUCGGGGCAGGGUGAGUCGACCCCUAAGGCGAGGCCGAAAGGCGUAGUCGAUGGGAAACGGGUUAAUAUUCCCGUACUUGGUGUUACUGCGAAGGGGGGACGGAGAAGGCUAUGUUGGCCGGGCGACGGUUGUCCCGGUUUAAGCGUGUAGGUGUGUGUUCCAGGUAAAUCCGGUUCACUUUAACACUGAGGCGUGACGACGAGGCACUACGGUGCUGAAGCAACAAAUGCCCUGCUUCCAGGAAAAGCCUCUAAGCAUCAGGUAACAUCAAAUCGUACCCCAAACCGACACAGGUGGUCAGGUAGAGAAUACCAAGGCGCUUGAGAGAACUCGGGUGAAGGAACUAGGCAAAAUGGUGCCGUAACUUCGGGAGAAGGCACGCUGACACGUAGGUGAAGUGAUUUACUCAUGGAGCUGAAGUCAGUCGAAGAUACCAGCUGGCUGCAACUGUUUAUUAAAAACACAGCACUGUGCAAACACGAAAGUGGACGUAUACGGUGUGACGCCUGCCCGGUGCCGGAAGGUUAAUUGAUGGGGUCAGCGCAAGCGAAGCUCCUGAUCGAAGCCCCGGUAAACGGCGGCCGUAACUAUAACGGUCCUAAGGUAGCGAAAUUCCUUGUCGGGUAAGUUCCGACCUGCACGAAUGGCGUAAUGAUGGCCGCUGUCUCCACCCGAGACUCAGUGAAAUUGAACUCGCUGUGAAGAUGCAGUGUACCCGCGGCAAGACGGAAAGACCCCGUGAACCUUUACUAUAGCUUGACACUGAACAUUGAGCCUUGAUGUGUAGGAUAGGUGGGAGGCUUUGAAGUGUGGACGCCAGUCUGCAUGGAGCCGACCUUGAAAUACCACCCUUUAAUGUUUGAUGUUCUAACGUGGACCCGUUACCCGGGUUGCGGACAGUGUCUGGUGGGUAGUUUGACUGGGGCGGUCUCCUCCUAAAGAGUAACGGAGGAGCACGAAGGUUGGCUAAUCCUGGUCGGACAUCAGGAGGUUAGUGCAAUGGCAUAAGCCAGCUUGACUGCGAGCGUGACGGCGCGAGCAGGUGCGAAAGCAGGUCAUAGUGAUCCGGUGGUUCUGAAUGGAAGGGCCAUCGCUCAACGGAUAAAAGGUACUCCGGGGAUAACAGGCUGAUACCGCCCAAGAGUUCAUAUCGACGGCGGUGUUUGGCACCUCGAUGUCGGCUCAUCACAUCCUGGGGCUGAAGUAGGUCCCAAGGGUAUGGCUGUUCGCCAUUUAAAGUGGUACGCGAGCUGGGUUUAGAACGUCGUGAGACAGUUCGGUCCCUAUCUGCCGUGGGCGCUGGAGAACUGAGGGGGGCUGCUCCUAGUACGAGAGGACCGGAGUGGACGCAUCACUGGUGUUCGGGUUGUCAUGCCAAUGGCACUGCCCGGUAGCUAAAUGCGGAAGAGAUAAGUGCUGAAAGCAUCUAAGCACGAAACUUGCCCCGAGAUGAGUUCUCCCUGAGACUUAGAGUCUCCUGAAGGAACGUUGAAGACGACGACGUUGAUAGGCCGGGUGUGUAAGCGCAGCGAUGCGUUGAGCUAACCGGUACUAAUGAACCGUGAGGCUUAACCUUACAACGCCGAAG
rnacentral:rRNA from 1 species